UACGAAGGGGGCUAGCGUUGCUCGGAAUCACUGGGGCGUAAAAGCGCACGUAGGCGGAUCUUUAAGUCAGGGGUGAAAUCCCAAGGCUCAACCUUGGAACUGCCUUUGAUACUGGGGGAUCUCGAGUCCGGAAGAGGUUGGUGGAACUGCGAGUGUAGAGGUGAAAAUUCGUAGAUAUUCGCAAGAACACCAGUGGCGAAGGCGGCCAACUGGUCCGGUACUGACGCUGAGGUGCGGAAAGCG
rnacentral:rRNA from 1 species